rnacentral:lncRNA from 1 species
GCGUCUGCCCUUGCAUACCGUAAAUCAUCUCGCACCUUGCAGCUUGCGCAUAAGCGUCAAGUGUAGUGAAGUCUCGCCCACUCUGGUUGUUUUGGCUAGGAAGGGUAGAUGGAAAAGUACCCUGAAAUAAGUAUUUUGUCUAAUAUGGUGUACCUGAAACAAGGCUUGCAAGAGUAUACUCUCCCUGUAAAAAAGAGAGGGUAUAUAUUCAAAGAAAGAGGAGAAAAGUCGAUUUAGAAUCGAACAAAGAUUACUUUGGAUGUUUUUCAUAAAUACAUGGAACAAGGACGACUUAAAUUGUUCUUUACAACCAGUAGGGUCCUGUUACUAGGCGGCAAUUUUGAUUAUCACUCACUAACCAUAUCUUCUGGUCCCUCUCGGUGAAUAUGUUCACCAGAAAAAUAAUCUCCCAAUUCAGUUCUGGCAUAUGAUCGCUUAUAGACCUAGGCAAAACAAUCAUUAGGAAUAUAAGGUCUAUUUUUUUCAGGAAAAGGUGGUCACCAUGGCUCUUAGAACUAGACCACGAGUUCGCAAUAGUGUCAUCUCAAUGAAAAAUAGCAAUAACUAUCAAAGUUGGGGUUUGUAACUGCAUCAAAACAUCCCCUAGCUAUUUGAGGCACGAGCCGGGGAAGACUCAGAUGCCAGGUUCUCUUGCGCUUCAUCUUUGAGAUGAACUACACAACAAUGGACGUGCAGAAAGACACUCUACAACAAAGCUGGUGAGUUCCAGCUACUACUUAAGCUCUGGGUUUUUCUACCCUUAAGCAUGGAGCACCAACAACGUUGCCUUGGUGUGUCGAGACCAACCUGCGAACAAAGGUCCGGUCUUCUCAAUAUGCCGAUGUAGACUUUUCACAUGUUGUAAUCAUCCCGAUGCCUCACAUGCCUACACGUGAUAGAAUUGCAACAAAGUGCUUGCACGGGGAGUUAUGAGAACAUAGAUGGUGUUGCUGGAGCAAGAAGAAGUAUAUAUAGACUGACUACCAAAUAACAUGAAGCAAUAAGUAAGGUACUCCCUAUGUAAACUUUUAUAAGAAGUUUGUAG